GCGAACGGGUGAGUAACACGUGGGUAACCUGCCCUGUACUCUGGGAUAAGCCUGGGAAACUAGGUCUAAUACCGGAUAUGACCUGCCUCCGCAUGGUGGUGGGUGGAAAGUUCCGGCGGUACAGGAUGGACCCGCGGCCUAUCAGCUUGUUGGUGGGGUAAUGGCCUACCAAGGCGACGACGGGUAGCCGGCCUGAGAGGGUGACCGGCCACACUGGGACUGAGACACGGCCCAGACUCCUACGGGAGGCAGCAGUGGGGAAUAUUGCACAAUGGGCGAAAGCCUGAUGCAGCGACGCCGCGUGAGGGAUGACGGCCUUCGGGUUGUAAACCUCUUUCAGCGGGGACGAAGGGCAACUGACGGUACCCGCAGAAGAAGCACCGGCUAACUACGUGCCAGCAGCCGCGGUAAUACGUAGGGUGCGAGCGUUGUCCGGAAUUAUUGGGCGUAAAGAGCUCGUAGGCGGUUUGUUGCGUCGGCUGUGAAAACUUCACGCUUAACGUGGAGCCUGCAGUCGAUACGGGCAGACUUGAGUUCGGCAGGGGAGACUGGAAUUCCUGGUGUAGCGGUGAAAUGCGCAGAUAUCAGGAGGAACACCGGUGGCGAAGGCGGGUCUCUGGGCCGAUACUGACGCUGAGGAG
rnacentral:rRNA from 1 species